rnacentral:rRNA from 1 species
GGAGGGUGCAAGCGUUAUCCGGAUUUAUUGGGUUUAAAGGGUCCGUAGGCGGAUGCGUAAGUCAGUGGUGAAAUCUCACAGCUCAACUGUGAAACUGCCAUUGAUACUGCGUGUCUUGAGUAAGGUAGAAGUGGCUGGAAUAAGUAGUGUAGCGGUGAAAUGCAUAGAUAUUACUUGGAACACCAAUUGCGAAGGCAGGUCACUAUGUCUUAACUGACGCUGAUGGACGAAAGCGUGGGGAGCGAACAGGAUUAGAUACCCUGGUAGUCCACGCCGUAAACGAUGCUAACUCGUUUUUGGGGCUUUAAGCUUCAGAGACUAAGCGAAAGUGAUAAGUUAGCCACCUGGGGAGUACGAACGCAAGUUUG